GGCUCUCAAAGUAACUAACCAACCUGAAACAGAAUAAAGAAAAGGUAGGAUUGGAGUGUAUGAACUGAGACAGUUGUUACUGCACCAUUUCGUUCAGAUGCUGUGGUUCUUAUGUUUGNCCCAAAUCAAGCUAAAUCAUUACUCGAUAGACACUUGACUACAAACCUUCGUAACGGAUUCUAACUGCUUGAGAACAUUGCGGCCUGCACUUUCUCCGCAGGCAACUUGCUCCAAUACACACAUCAG
rnacentral:misc_RNA from 1 species